rnacentral:tRNA from 1 species
GUUCGGCUGCGGGGACGGGCCGUCCCCGCCCCAUUUUUAGGGGGUGGGUUCGCCGAGGAGUUUGCGGAGGGUGGGUUCGAGGGCUUCGGCGAGGA